AGGAAGCGCCUCUCCGCUCCUAGUGAAGGAACGGGAACGGACGCUUCCACUU
ensembl:miRNA gmo-mir-11226 gmo-mir-11226